UCCCUUCACAGUGGUGAAGAGAGAGCUGAAGUUAAUCCUCAGUGACACCAUGAUUAUCAGAGACUGAGAAGGAAAAAGUAACAAAUUCCACAGAAUUGCAGCAUCAGUUAGAUAAAACAAAGCAACAGCAUCAAGAAUAGCAAGCUCUUCAGCAAAGCACUACAGCAAAACUUUGAGAAGCUCAGGAAAUUGGCAGAAAUUGGGAUUGAAAGAAAGACUAAAUCAGGUCUCAAAUCUUCAGUGAAUGAGGUAGGGAUUUAUAGAUAGCAACACAGGA